CUCUAGGGGAAAAUCUGUUUCCUAUCCCUUUUUACCUUCUAGAAACUACCUGCAUUCCUUGGCUCAUGGCUCUUUUUUCCACCUUUAAAUCCAACAGCAUGACAUCUUCCAUAAUCACAUCACUUUCUGUGACUCUGACACUCCUGCCUCCUUCUUAUAAGGACACUUGUGAUGAUAUUUGGCCCAUUGAAUAAUCCAGGAUAAUCUCCAAUUUCAUAAUCUCUAACUGAAUCAUAUCUUUGUAUUCUCUUUUUGCCAUGUAAGGUUACAUACUCACAGAUUUGGGAUUAGGAUGUGGGCAUCUGGGGAGGGCAGUAGUUUACUACAGGUGUUUUAUGACCAGCCUAUUUAGUAAUAAAAUCCUGAAAAUGUUUACUGGCCAGUGAACCUAAGAGUUAUGAAUCAAAUAUUAAAGCCUAUUUAAGAAAAGAAAUGAACAAACCUUUAUCAUUCCCAUUUGACUUCUGAGAGCCAAAUUUGGAAUUGUGGUAUAUGGCAAGCCAGAAAGGGUCAGAAAUAGUAACAGAGAGAUUUAGAGAUGAGAUUCUCAAAAUAGAGGAGAUAUCUGAGCAGGAGUUUGAGAACUGGAGGAAGUUCAGGCAGUACAGAGGCUCUGAUGAGACAUGUGACAUGGAUGGCGCUGUCAGAUUGAGUGUUCACCAGAUAAAUGAACGGAUGGAGAAUUACCAUAUGCUUUCUCCUCUGGGCGAUGCACAGCACCCUGAUGGAGAUACUGCCAAGCUUCUGUUCAGCAGUGUCUCCCUUCAGCCUCCCUGCAGCUGCAGACCUAACACCAAAGCCAGCCGACAGCAAAUAUCCUUCUCUUUGUGAGCAAAUGACUGUGGAUGGUACAAGCUUAUUUGACAAUAACGAAAUUUGUUUCGAGUAAGGAUAACACAGGGAAAAAAAAAAAAAAAACCUAAUCAGAACAUUGUUAUUUUGACACAUUUAGUUACCUUUUAGAAAGUGCCCUCCUAAUUUGCAGUUUGACGGGAUCUCAGCAUCCAGUAGAAAGCUGGGGAUUUUUCAUCCCAUUGACAGGAAUCCAUUAAUAAAACAACAAUCUUUUGUGUAUAGUAAUCUUUAAUCUCAUUUUGUCACACACUUCUCAGGAGCAUUUCCACUCGUUUUACAGUAUAAUUUAUGGCAUUGAAACAACUCCUGCCCUGGAAAAGGUCAUUCUGUCAAGGUUUACUUGUCUUUGAAGAAAAGUAAUAGAGCAUUAUUUAUGAACCAGAGAAUGCACUUCACUAUUUUAAUCAAUCAGGAAGAUGCUUGCAUUAUUGUAUCUUUUGCUGCUACUCACCCCCCCCCAAAAAAAAAAACCCAUAAGCAAAGGAUAUGCCAAUCUUGCUUUCUCUUUUAUGUUGCAAAAGGCCUCUUACCUUUUAUGUCUCUUCUGCUUUUGUGUUUAUGGCGCUAUGGAAAUAACAAGCCUGAUGAUGUCUGAUAUCUGGGAACAAUUUGUAAAUUCUAUGCAAGGGGUUGAUCUGCUCUAAAGAUCAGAGAACCUCUGGACAGAUGAGCCAGCCCAGCCAAUACGCUCAUUAUGGGAAAUUCAUCUGAUAAAACAGAAGGGAAUUUGCAGUUAAAAACCUUGUGGAGAAAGAAAAAGUUGAAGAGGUUUGAGACUGUCUUAGACAGUAAUCAGCAAGACAAAAGCAAUUAUCAUGUUUUUGUACAGAAGAUCUCCAGACAUAGCCACAGUUGGUCCCCAUAUGUUUCUAGAAACUACCACAAGCAGAAAUUAGAACAUGCUGUGUGGGGAAAUGAAUUGGUAGUUCAUUAGAGAAAACAGUUAUAGUUGGAAUAAAUGUCUCCAAUAAGGAUUUAAUUUAAGUUAGAAAGGAUGUUGGGUGUGAAUUAAAUAACAAUAGAUAUCAAUGCCAUCCUAAUAAAGUUUAAAAAGGAUGUUAAAAAUAUUUCUAAUUACAAAAUAGUUAAAAUAAGUCCAUGUGUUUUUGAUAACCUAUUUAAAAAUACAUGGGUAUGACUUUAAGUAUGCAAAAGUCAACUGACAAUGAUUUUUUAGAACUUAAUGGGAAAAACUAAACAUAGAACCAAAAAAUGGCAUAUAUGUUUGAAAUAUUUUGAUUUAAAUAUCAUAUUAACCAAAGAACCAAAUAGGGUAUUGAGGCUAUAUAAUGAUUUGCAAGUAGGUUAAGAAGUUAAGAUUGGGUCAAAUAAUCUUAAAUUAUUCGUUUAUUUAUUUACAUCCACCACAAAGCUUUUGAGAUGGCUUCUAUUCAAUUAAGACUAACCACCUGAAAAGUAAAACAACUAAUUCAUCACAAAAUUUAAAAAUAACCCCUAUCCCUCAAAAUGAUUAUAAGACCAAUUCCAUUACCAAAUUAGCAAACUGGGUUGUAAGUAUUUAAAAAUUGUUGUACUGAUUGGAAGUAAUUGCCUUUAGAUAGACAUAUCUAUUUUGAACUCUGGAGCAAGGGAGAAUGAAAUAGGAAUUUUCUCAAGGCUCAAGGGAGAAGGGACCGUGCAGUUGGCCCUAAUGUACACAUGAAAGAGAGGAGGGGUGAUGUGAAAAGGUGAAAGGUUUUCUUGAAGUAUGGAACUGGUCAUGUAAGAUGGUACCCGUUUUACCUCUGAGUUAUAAAUUCUCUCAGCUUCCCUAUAAAAUACUUAUGAAGGAAUAAAGAUAUAGGAUAAACACAUGACAUUUCACAAUGUUAAAUAUAAGGCUGACUUUAUCCCACAGGGUGAAAUGGAAUUGCAAUAGAGAAAGUAUAAAGCCACACUUACAAGAGAGCAUCUUGUUCACCGGAAAGAAAUAAAGGAUGUACUAUACUUCUUCCCAAAGUGAGACCUCUUCUCAAAGUAGGGAUGUGCCACAUCCCAUCCCAAACUAGGACACUACCACAAUUACUUUUUAACAUCUGUCUACUGGCUUACCAUCUUCUACUUGACUCUGCCGUGCACACACAAUUGUUUGGACAUCACUUUUCUCUGCUCUCACCUCCAUAUAUAAAAGCUGCCUCUUUUUGUUUGUCAGUUUGGAUCUCAUGAUUCCCACAGAACAGGGAAGGAAGAUUGUGACAGUGAUUCAGUUAGUAUGAUGGAGUCAGAGGGAGGUUGCAAGAGCCUUCUCCUAUGUAUGCAGGAGAUCAAAAGUGCUAUUGAAUGCCAUCCGUUCAGAGUGCAGAGAAUCAGCAGGUGAGGGUCAGACUGGGUACCACCUCAACCCAGCAAAUCAGUGUGAGGCAUUGGUUUAGACUAGGGGCUCAAGAGCAGAUUGUUGGGUUAAUAGCAGGUCAACAGCUUAUUUAAUCCCAAAGACUUAGUUUCCCCAUCAGGAAAAUGGAGAUGGUAAUAGGGACUUCCUCAGAGAAUUAUUAAACAAUCCAUGUAGAUUACUUACCACUGUGUAACACAUAAGUGAACACUCAAACAUAUGCUAUUUUAAUUUGAGAGUGAAAAAUGAUUGACCAGGGAAAACACAUCUUUUAGGCAAUUUAAUACAGGGAAAGCCAGGGACACAAUAGAUAGAGAAUGAUUGUUUUAUGCUGGGGAGAGAAACUCCUGUAUUCCUGGGACAAGGUAGAAUUUAGUGGUUCCUUCACUAGCCAUACAUAGCACUUUCCCUAGAAUUCUUGUCUCAGGGAAUGCCUGGGAAACCCACACAUAUCUCUAGUUGUCAAAUGCUGCCUCUGGCUAGACUUCAUUUAAAGAUUUGUAAACAGAAGCAAACAACAACAACAUGAAUCCUAUUAAAAAGUAAGGCAAAUUUUGGGAUGAAUUGAACAUGACUUCUCAAAGCCAACAGCAAAAUCUAGUGUAUGCACUUUGACAUGGCUCACAGUCAUUUUUAAUGAAAAAAAAAAGGUCUGCUAAGGAGAGCGGCAUAGGCCAGUGGCUACAACUCCGAUUAGACCCCUUACCUGGGAACCCCCAUGUGCCACAAGUGUGGCCCUAAAAAGCAAAAAUAUAUAUACAUAUAUAUCAUUGUAUAGAUAAUUAUUUUAAAUUAAAUAUUUUAUAGAAUUGUAUCAUAUCCAGUUACAAAAUUGAACGAAAAUGUUAAAAAGUAUUAAAAGGGAAAUAUAUAAUACAAAAAUGACUAAGUACCAUAACUGCCUUCUCAAAAUUUCAGAUUGUAUUAAAUACUGAAAUUUAGGGAAUGAGUAAAAAAGAGCUAUAUUUGUAGGUUUACAUAAAAGGAGUCAAAACAUGAAAUUUAUCUCUAUUACAUUUUAAAAUUGAUAAUUCCCAAAUCCUGGAAAAAAAACAAGUGAAUGAUUUUGUCCAGGUAUAGAAAACAGAAGAUAAAGACAACUUGGAGAAUAGCAUAAAAAAUGAGAAAAUAUGAUGCCCACACUGACUUCUUUGACAAUAGAAAUCUCCAAAGGUAGGUGUCUUAUUGGUCUUUUUUUUUUUUUUUUUUUUUUGUGGGGUUGAGGGUGCUAUAUCUGCAGCCUAUGGAGGUUUCCAGACUAGGAGUCAAAUCAGAGCUGUAGCUGCUGGCCUAUGCCACAGCCGCAGCAAUGCUGGAUCCCAGCCAUGUCUGUAACCAGGUCCUUCACCCACCCAGCGAGGCCAGGGAUUGAAUCUGCAUCCUCUUGAAUGCUAGUCAGAUUUGCUUCCACCAAGCCAUGGUGGGAAUUCCUUGUUGGUUUCAUUUAGCAGUAUUUACCAGAGGUGUGCCUGAUAUAAUGGACAUCUAGUUAUUUGUUGCCUGAAUGAAGACUGCACAUACAAUCUCUGAAAUAAACAUAAAAAUGGUAACCUUAUCUAGUAAAAGACAAAGUCUUUUAGAAAUUUUACUUAAGAGCAUCACACUUUUUUCUUGGCUUUGACAGAAAAUGCAUCAACACAGAAAAGUAGAGAUAUCAAAAAAUCAAAUAAUAACGAUGUUGGAUUAAUAAACUUUCAUACUACGCAAAGAGGGCUAUAUCUUCUUUUCAAGUGAAUAUACCUUCAAUAUACAAUUGAGGAAUAUACUCACAAUUAGUAUAUUUAGUGAAUAUACUAAAAGCUACAAUAAUUAAAACAAGUCAUAUAGGAAUAGACAGAUCAAUGGACUAUAUAUAUAUAUUUGGAAAUGCAAUAUUAAGUUUAUACUAAAUUUAUAAUAACAAAUUAAUGAGGACUCAAUGCAUUAACAUUAUAUAAUCCUUUGUCAAAUGGACUAUUUGGAGAAGAAGUAAAGUUAGGUCUUUGCCUUACAGCUUAUAGACAAUUAGAUUUAAAAAAGAAACCAGAGACAAAGAAAAACUUGGAAGAAAGUAUGCAUGAAUAUUUACUCCCUGUCUAGGAAAGGACUUUAUAUGUCUUUAAAAUAAUGAAGAAAUUAUACCUAAAAUACUGAUAGAAUUAUCCUUUAAUAAUUCAAGGUGACCUGGGUAAGAAAUUAUACCUAAAAUACUGAUAGAAUUAUCCUUUAAUAAUUCAAGGUGACCUGGGUACUAUAAAUCAAUAUGAAAAUCUAACAAAUG
rnacentral:lncRNA from 9 species